rnacentral:rRNA from 1 species
UACAGAGGUCUCAAGCGUUGUUCGGAUUCAUUGGGCGUAAAGGGUGCGUAGGCGGCGCGGUAAGUCGGGUGUGAAAUCUCAGGGCUCAACCCUGAAACUGCACUUGAUACUGCUCUGCUUGAGGACUGGAGAGGAGACUGGAAUUCACGGUGUAGCAGUGAAAUGCGUAGAUAUCGUGAGGAAGACCAGUGGCGAAGGCGGGUCUCUGGACAGUUCCUGACGCUGAGGCGCGAAGGCCAGGGGAGCAAACGGG